CACAUGAUCAUAAAGCCAUGAGGUUGCUUCCGGAAAGCUGAAAUUGCGCCAAAAAACUUAGCAGCUGGCUUGUUUGGAAUAUCUGUCCAGCUCAAAAAUGGCUCCAGCGAUUAGAAACAGGUGAUGGCAGAAUGGCUUUAUGGAAACUUCAAGCAUAUGACAGCUUAAUUUUCUUCCACAAGGCUGUGAGACCAGUUUGCAGGUGAUGCUAAAGUUUUCAGAUCUACAGCACCAGGUGACAUACAGCCAACACUUAGUGUCUAGCUUAUUGUCAAAAGAAAUGUCUGUGCCUCCUUUGUUAAACCAGUGUCUCUUUGUGGCCUAAUCAAUCAACAGUAUUCCUCCAGCACUCCAAGAAAGGACCCAGCAGACUCCGUUCUUUCGACAGACUUUGUAUUUUACGUGCACACUCCUGGGCUCCAUUCAGCUGACUUGGCUUUAUUCUUCAACAAAGGAUACCAAAAGGAAUAAAGCAAAUUUGAUCUAGCAAUGUGAAGCGAGAUGCCAUAAUAUACAGAGGUCUUCACCUCAACUGCGUCUGCUGACAUCCAGGCUGCAAGUUGAUUUUGUUUUAUAUACAGAUCUUCAAGCACUGGACAAAAUGUCUACAUGAAACAUUUCUCUGUUGCAUCAGCCCAGGUGUUAACAGCUGGAGUACGUGUGUUUUGUGCAACUCUGCUGCUCUCAACUCGUGUACCCAUGGAAAGGGAUUGUCCUUGGCGUUCCUGUUUGAACUAUAAACCUGGCUAUUUAAUAAAAUGCUAAUAAAGUGUUUGAUAUCUGUUCCAUUAAUAAAGCUUUGACUUAUCUUA